rnacentral:rRNA from 1 species
UACCAGCACCCCGAGUGGUCGGGACGUUUAUUGGGCCCAAAGCAUCCGUAGCCGGUUCUACAAGUCUUCCGUUAAAUCCAACUGCUUAACAGGUGGGCUGCGGAAGAUACUAUAGAGCUAGGAGGCGGGAGAGGCAAGCGGUACUCGAUGGGUAGGGGUAAAAUCCGUUGAUCCAUUGAAGACCACCAGUGGCGAAGGCGGCUUGCCAGAACGCGCUCGACGGUGAGGGAUGAAAGCUGGGGGAGCAAACCGG